GCCCGGGUGGUGUAGUGGCCCAUCAUAUCACCCUGUCACGGUGAUGACGCGGGUUCAAAUCCCGCCUCGGGCG
rnacentral:tRNA from 6 species